rnacentral:rRNA from 1 species
AGCUCCAGUAGCGUAUAUUAAUGUUGUUGCAGUUAAAAAGCUCGUAGUUGGACUUCUGAUGCGACACGCUCUGCCCGCUGUUAUGCAGUGAGUGCAGCCGCGCGUCCUUCAUCCUUCUAGGGAGGCCCGCCUCGUGCGGUGUUCGAUCUAGAUCAUUUACUGUGAAGAAAUUAGAGUGUUUAAAGCAGGCUUGCGCUAUGAAUACAUUAGCAUGGAAUAAUAAUAUAGGACUUUUGUCUCUAUUUUGUUGGUUUCUAGAGCUGAAGUAAUGAUUGAUAGGGAUAGUUGGGGGUGCUAGUAUUGAGCGGCCAGAGGUGAAAUUCUUGGAUUCGCUCAAGACUAACUAAUGCGAAAGCAUUCACCAAGGAUAUCUUCU